GGCGCGGUAGUUGGAAUGACUGCCGCCCAGCGCAGCGCUAAUUUGCUUUCGUUUUCUACCAUUAAUAAAUCUUUUUAAUUGGAUUAGAAAGCCUAUUGUGCUCGUUCAUAACAAUUUGGUGCCGUGACUCGGAUCGGGGAUCUGGGGAACCUCUCUCUGAGAGGGGCACCACGAUUCUGCUCCUUUGAGCGGACUCAGACCGGGGUUUUUACCCUCAUCCCGACCGACGAACCUAAAAGCCUAGAGAGCGAGAGCAAAGAGAGGGAAGCGGGCCCAGGGUACCCCGUAAUUUUGUGCACAAAGUCCGGACGAAGACGCAGGACGCGUACAACCCGGCGACUGGGUCCUCAUCCGAAGCUGGAAGGAAGAUUCAAUCACCCCAAAGUGGGACGGACCAUAUCUGGUUUUAAUCACCACUGACUCCGCAGUCCGCACAGCAGAGAAGGGAUGGACUCAUGCUAGCAGAAUAAAGGGGCCGGUGGAUCCAACUCAAUUUCAUACAGCUUCCAGGGAAACGAGCUGGAAAAUUGACGGGAAGCCGGGGGAUUUAAAGUUAACAGUAAAAAGGACUUACAAAUAAUUUUCAUGAACACUAUCAACUCUAGGGACAUUUGGGUUGGAGAUAACUGGGGACUGCAAGUACAACUGGUUGGAGAAACAAAACCCCCAGGAUACUGUAAACGUCUAGAGGAUUCAGCCCAGCAGCCCUUCUAUCGGUUCAUCCGACUUGAAAAGGAGCAGAGACCUUGGGAAGGGGAGGGCCAUGCUGAACAUCAAAGUAUUAAAGUAAAGUGUAGCUGGUUAGAUUGUCAUUGUUACCCUUUUGCCUGUUUUUCCUGCAAAAUCUGUAAAGGAUUGUGGUGGGCUCACUGCAGAAAGGGGAGAGCUCCAAGAAGUGUAU